rnacentral:rRNA from 1 species
CGAAGGUGGAAUCAAUAACUGGGGUGAAGUCGUAACAAGGUAGCCGUAUCGGAAGGUGCGGCUGGAUCACCUCCUUUCUAAGGAGA